GUUAUUUUUUGGCGCGGCUUUGUCCGCGGCCUAUUUUUGGCACACUGAAGCCCCUCGCAAAGUCUCGCGGCAUUCCGAGUCCGGCUGACGAAGUUGGCCAGCCCCACCCCCCAAGGCUAAAGCGCACCCGUUUUUGUGGCCUUUUUCCGCUGGACGAACUUGGCGCCCCGGCCUUCGGGCGGUUAUUUUUGGGUGCGGCAUUGUGCGCGGCCUAUUUUUGGCACACGGAAGCCCCUCACAAAGUCUCGCGGCAUUCCGAGUCCGGCGGACGAAGUUGGCCACCCCACCCGCCAAGGCUAUAGCCCACCCGUUUUUAUGGCCUUUUUCCGCGGGACGAACUUGGCGCCCCGGCCUUUGGGCCGUUAUUUUUGGUCGCGGCUUUACCCGCGGCCUAUUUUUGGCACACGGAGGCCCCUCGCAAAGUCUCGCGGCAUUCCGAAUCCGUUGGACGAAGUUGGCCAGCCUCACCCCCCAAGGCUAUAGCCCACCCGUUUUUGUGGCCUUUUUCCGCUGGACGAACUUGGCGCCCCGGACGUCGGGCGGUUAUUUUCGUGCGCGGCUUUACCCGUGGCCUAUUUUUGGCACACAGAGGCCCCUCGCAAAGUCUCGCAGCAUUCCGAGUCCGGCGGACGAAGUCGGCCAGCAUCACCCCCCAAGGCUAUAGCCCACCCGUUUUUGUGGCCUUUUUCCGCUGGACGAACUUGGCGCCCCGGCGUUCGGGCGGUUAAUUUGGGGCGCUACUUUGACCGCGGCCUAUUUUUGGCACACGGAGGCCCCUCGCAAAGUCUCGCGGCAUUCCGAGUCCGGCGGACGAAGUUGGCCAUCAUCACCCCCCAAGGCUAUAGCCCACCCGUUUUUGUGGCCUUUUUCCGCUGGACGAACUUGGCGCACCCGCCGUCGGGUGGUUAUUUUUGGGCGCGGCUUUGCCCGCGGCCUAUUUUUGGCACACGGAAGCCCCUCGCAAAGUCUCGCGGCAUUCCGAGUCCGGCGGACGAAGUUGGCCAGCCCCACCCCCCAAGGCUAUAGCCCACCCGUUUUUGUGGCCUUUUUCCGCUGGACGAACUUGGCGCCCCGGACGUCGGGCGGUUAUUUUCGUGCGCGGCUUUACCCGUGGCCUAUUUUUGGCACACAGAGGCCCCUCGCAAAGUCUCGCAGCAUUCCGAGUCCGGCGGACGAAGUCGGCCAGCAUCACCCCCCAAGGCUAUAGCCCACCCGUUUUUGUGGCCUUUUUCCGCUGGACGAACUUGGCGCACCCGCCGUCGGGUGGUUAUUUUUGGGCGCGGCUUGUCCGCAGCCUAUUUUGGCACACAGAGGCC
rnacentral:lncRNA from 1 species